CGGAAGGUGUACUUGGAACAUCGGAGCGUAACAAAACUAAACCUCAUCCAUGCAAACUGGGUCGCCCCAA
rnacentral:tRNA from 1 species